rnacentral:rRNA from 1 species
UCCGGCGGCGAUGGCGGAGGGGUAACACCCGUUCUCAUUCCGAACACGGCAGUUAAGCCCUCCAGCGCCGAUGGUACUGCAUGGGAGACUGUGUGGGAGAGUAGGACGUCGCCGGGU